ACGGUAAUGUGUAUCAAAUAAUAUUUCUUUCUCUCGAUUUUUUUACUAAUUUAUUUUUACAAAAUUCAGUAAAUUAAUAUUUCCUUCAGAGAAUAGAUCCGAAAAGCUACUUGAAUUAACUCAUAUUGUUCUUCUCUCAAAAUCCAAGUCCACUUGGUGAAUAAUAGGACCUAUAUUUGAGUGGGCCGUUUAUGAAUUGGGCCAGAUCCAAAGCCCAAUUUCUCAGGAUUUUUCCCGAUGUAGAGAGUAUUAACUAUUAACCCAAAUGGGCAUUUCUCGUGACUCUUUUUCUUUUCCAACGGUUUGCCCAACAACUCAAAACAAAAUGCCAAAAGAAAGAAGAAAGAAUUCAAGGGGUGCAUAGUGGUGAUGCAGGGAUUUUUUGCGUCUGGAUUUAUGGUGGUCCUAGUCAGCUGGUGUGUACGCAAGAGGGGUCCUCUUUUUGUAUCAAUCUUCAACCCUCUCAUGCUGGUAUUUGUGGCCAUCCUUGGUUCCUUAAUCCUCGAUGAGAAGUUGCAUCUCGGAAGGUCCCCUCUCCGCUCUCCCUUCUAUCUAUAAUUUGCUUCAUUCAUAUGAAGUUUAGUAACAUGGCAUCUGUAUUUGUAUUUGUAUUUGCGUGUAGCAGUAUAAUAGGAGGGGUGCUGAUAGUAAUUGGGUUAUACGCCAUGUUGUGGGCAAAAGGGGCGGAGAUGAAGAGCAUGGCCACACUCUCACAUUCCAAAAGCUCCAAAGAGGCAGAAAUAAUAAAUGUGGGCACAGCCCCAGCUAAAGAUGAUGAGGAUGCUAUUGCUAGUGAUGUAUCAACUGCAGCUGCCGCCAACCCCAGACAGUGAUAAGUAUCGAGUAUGAUCAGAUUAUAUUUGAUUAACUGAUUCAUUCAUUCGUCAAUGGUCUCGUGGUGAAUAUCAAAAUACACAAAAAUAAUCUAUCGGCACAAUAUGUCUAAGAGUCUUAUAUGUUUACAUGAACCCAAUAAAUAUAGAACAAACUCAAAUCUGACAGAGAUGAUAUUUAACAAGCAAGAGAAACAACUCCCACCUCAAGUCUUCUUUGUUAAACGAUAAAAAAUAAAAAAAAAUAUAGGAAAAUGAGGCAAAUGUGCUUCUUCUUGAACCUUAGAAGCCUUCAUCUAUCACACUUUGGCAUUCCUAACUGAGCUUCAUUUUUCUUCUGUUGUUUUCUUCUCCUCAGUUGUUUUGGGUUGUUCCACCUCUGCUGCUCCUGCUGCUGCUUCAAUAUCUAUCUUUUUUUCACUGGAUGAGACAGGGGCUUCUUCCACUGGGGUCCCUGACUUCUCAACUUCUGGGAGUUUCUGUUCGGUAGAUGAGACUGGGGGUUCUUCCACUGGGAUUUUGGACUUUUCCACUUCUGGGAGUGUCUGUUCAGUAGAUGAGACCAGGGCUUCCUCAACAGGAGUUUCAGAUUUUUUGCAACUUUGAGUUUCUUUUCACAUUCCUCAGUGGCCUUUUCAAUAAGUGACUUUGUUCUUGUUUUGUUACCUCAGAUUGUACCUUAUCUUCUUCUUUAUUUGAAUAAUCCCCCUCUUCAUUCUGUGCACAAAGCAGUUCAAAAUUUAAACACAAGAACAGAACAGAGUGCCAUUGAGAGAUUGAAAAAAGACAUCAAUCAUUCUACAAUUCUUCAUCAUUAAAUCAAUUGUACCAGAUUGAAUAAUUCUCAUGAUCAGACUAAUGAAAUCUUACUCAAUUAUGUUCAUAAAGCAAUAUUUGACUAACCUCGAUUCUACAGAUACGGCCAAAUGCCAUAAUCUGAGCCCAAGAAUUGGAAGCUCCGUUUUCAUUAUAACCACGCAAUGCUCAACAAAGACAAAAGGUAAAAAUAUGAAGUUCAACAACCAUCAGCAACCAAUGUGAGAAUCUCACUGAGAGAACCCAUUGAUGAAACCAGUUAAAACAUUAUGACCAGAUGGUUCCAACAAGCAGUACAGAGAAUCUACUGGGGAAAUUUCGGUCCCCUUAUGUAUCAUAAUCGGAUCAAUUAUGAAUGGCUUUUGAUAUGUGGACCAUCCACAUAAAAUCUGUUUGACGUCCUUUUCAUCUCAUGUUGAAAAGGAGCUUAAUAUUAAAAUAAAAAAUCUCACAAAUACAAAUUCUCUACGUCUGUAAGACUUAAAUUUCACAAAAAUGUAACGAAGGCAGGUAAUAAAGGAAAGGAAAUACUGGAGGUCCAAAACAUUGAAGCACGCCUGUGAUGAAACUGGACAGGAGUCCUCAAUCCUUGAUAGGGCUCCCUAUAAAGGAGAAACGCAUCCCGGAAGCUCCUGCCCUUCUCUCUGGAUAGACUGUUAUAGACCCUUUUUUUUUCAUUGAGAUUCUAAUAUCGACUUGAUUCUUGGUUAUGGGUGGGAAGCUCUGCAACAUUGUUGAUGGGGCGAAACCAGCCAUAGUAAUGGUGGUUGCGCAACUAGCCUCUGGAGGAGUUCAAAUUUUGUACAAGCUGGCUAUCAACGAUGGCAUGAACACCAGGGUUCUUAUAGCCUAUAGAUACAUCUUUGCCACAGCUUUUAUAUCUUCUCUUGCUUUCAUCUUGGAAAGGUGGUAAUCUUCAUCUUCUUCUUCUUCUUCUUCAUUUUUUGGUUCCGAACAUCUCCUUUUGACAGGAAGAGCCGUCCAAGAUUGACAUGGAUGAUAGCUCUACAAGGGUUUCUAUGCGGAUUAUUUGGGUAUGAAAAUUAAACGAAAAUAAUCACUUUAUAUGCAUUGGUUCAUGUGAUCUUCAUAGAUGCUAGCUUUUUCUACCAUUUCUGAACUUGUUGCAGUAGCGAAAGCUUUGCAUGAAGAAGAUGAUAAAUGCUGACAUAAAGAUAUGAUACCAAUAACUGGUUUCAAUUUAAUGCUCCUUCUCUUAAUGGUUUCAUUCAUGUCAACUCCUUUGUGAGAAGCAUUUUGGUAUGAAUGAUGAAUCAUUUCAGAGGGAUGAUCAUAGUUUUGGCAUUUUAUGAGAUUAAUUAUAAAUGUUGAAAUUGUGUUUCAGAGGAGCAUUGGGUCAGAAUUUGUACGUCGAAAGCAUGGUUCUAACAUCUCCGACUUUUUCAGCGGCCAUGGCUAACCUCAUUCCGGCUGUUACGUUCAUCUUCGCCAUUUUUUUAGGGUACAAUAACCAUAUGGAUCUUUAUUUUCUUAUCAUUUAUUAUUAUUAUUAUUAUUAUGAUUAUUAUAAAUUUUUUAAUAGAGGUGGGAAAAUUCAUUUGAACUUACCACGUGAGUAUAGAACGAUAUUAGGCAAACCUAAUUUCUGUUGAAGAUUAGUUUGGACAUAUCUUGUGAAUGGAAAGUAUAGCAUGAAAUGUUAGUUUGGAGUCGAAUCCUUUAGCCCUCGUACCAGGUAUGGCUGGGAAGCAAAGUUGGAAAUAUACUAAACAUCCCUGAUUUCAAUCUUAAGAAGAAACAACUCUUUAGAUAAUUGUUUUAAAAAAAAAUAUAAAGAAUAAAAAUAAAAUAAAACUACAAAUUUUAAAAGUCUAUUUAAUUUUCAAAAUAAUUUCAUUCAUUUUUCAUCUUUUAUAUAAAAAUUAAAUAAUUUAAAAUUUUAUAAGGUUUCCAUUAAUUUUAAUUAUAUUUUCAUGAUAAAUCAAAUAUAAAAAAUUAUUUUCAUUUAACUUUUUUUUAAUAUUUUCUUAAAAUCAAAUAUAACCUUAAUAUAACCUUGAUAAAAUAUAACAUAACUCAUGUUUACUUAAUUUUAGUCUUUGAUAUUUUAUUUCAUGACAUAUAUUCUAAGAUGAUAAAUGAAUAAACUCUCUACUUUCUCAAUUAAAGACUUCUAUUAAAGAGAUAAUGAUUUUAAAUUUUAUUUUAAAAUAUUAAAGUAUUUAAAAAAACUUAUCUUCUUGAUUUUAAAAUUUUUUAAGAAUAUAAGGUAAAUCCGUUUUCAUUUUUUAUAUUAAAAUUAUUAUUAUUUUCUGUUUUAAAAUUUUAAAAAUUAAAAAAAUAAAUAAAUAAAUAAAAGAGAGAGAGAGAGAGAGAGAAAAGUUACAACUUCUUGUUUCCAUGGUCAUGAAUUUUGACUUGUGUGUACAUUAACAUAACAUUUAUGUUUAUGUGAACUAAAUCCCGAGCCUUGAAUGAAUAAUGAAUAGGUUGGAGAAGUUGGCGAUCCGAACGUGGGCAGGGAAGGCUAAGGUGACUGGCACCCUAUUGGGCAUAGGUGGAGCCAUGGUCCUCACCUUCUACAAAGGACCACAGAUCAACAUAUGGUCAACCAAAGUUCACCUGUUAAAGCACAAAAACCAACACGUGGCAGCAUCACACCGGGGGAUGGAUAAUCGUGUGUUGGGCUCAUUACUGGCUGUAGCAAGUUGUUUCUCCUAUGCAACCUGGUAUAUAAUCCAGGUAAUUCUGGCUCCAUAUUUUUCUCCAAUGCACCCAAAGUACCCUCAUAUAAAUUUAUUAAUCCUAUAUCACCCCUUGAAUGUGAACAGGCGAAGAUGGGAGAGAGGUACCCAUUUGACUACUCUAGCACUGCUCUAAUGUGUGCUUCUGCAUCGGUCCAAACAGUUGUGUAUGCCAUGUGUAAGGAAACAAAUUGGUCCGCGUGGAAGCUCGGAUGGAACAUCAGACUUCUCACUGUUGCCUACACGGUAAUGUGUAUCAAAUAAUAUUUCUUUCUCUCAAUUUUUUUAUUAAUUUAUUUUUACAAAAUUCAGUAAAGAAUAGAUCCGAAAAGCUACUUGAAUUAAUUCAUAUUGUUCUUCUCUCAAAAUCCAAGUCCACUUAGUGAAUAAUAGGACCUAUAUUUGAGUGGGCCGUUUCUGAAUUGGGCCAGAUCCAAAGCCCAAUUUCUCAGGCUUUUUCCCGAUGUAGAGAGUAUUAACCCAAAUGGGCAUUCCAAACUCAAAACAAAAUGCCAAAAGAAAGAAGAAAGAAUUCAAGGGGUGCAUAGUGGUGAUGCAGGGAU
rnacentral:lncRNA from 1 species